rnacentral:rRNA from 1 species
CCUACGGGUGGCAGCAGUGGGGAAUAUUGCACAAUGGGGGAAACCCUGAUGCAGCGACGCCGCGUGAGUGAAGAAGUAUCUCGGUACGUAAAGCUCUAUCAGCAGGGAAGAAAAUGACGGUACCUGACUAAGAAGCCCCGGCGAACUACGUGCCAGCAGCCGCGGUAAUACGUCGGGAGCAAGCGUUAUCCGGAUUUACUGGGUGUAAAGGGAGCGUAGAGGGCAGCACAAGUCUGGAGUGAAAUCCCGGGGCUUAACCCCGGAACUGCCUUGGAAACUGGGCGUCUUGAGUGCAGGAGGGGUAAGCGGAAUGCCUAGUGUAGCGGUGAAAUGCGUAGAUAUUAGGAGGAACACCGGUUGCGAAGGCGGCUUACUGGACUGUAACUGACGUUGAGGCUCGAAAGCGUGGGGAGCAAACAGGAUUAGAUACCCGGGUAGUC